rnacentral:siRNA from 1 species
UCGAAUACAUCCAACCAAAGUGG